GAUGAACGCUGGCGGCGUGCCUAAUACAUGCAAGUCGAGCGAAUGGAUUAAGAGCUUGCUCUUAUGAAGUUAGCGGCGGACGGGUGUGUAACACGUGGGUAACCUGCCCAUAAGACUGGGAUAACUCCGGGAAACCGGGGCUAAUACCGGAUAACAUUUUGAACCGCAUGGUUCGAAAUUGAAAGGCGGCUUCGGCUGUCACUUAUGGAUGGACCCGCGUCGCAUUAGCUAGUUGGUGAGGUAACGGCUCACCAAGGCAACGAUGCGUAGCCGACCUGGGAGGGUGAUCGGCCAGACUGGGACUGAGACACGGCCCAGACUCCUACGGGAGGCAGAAGUAGGGAAUCUUCCGCAAUGGACGAAAGUCUGACGGAGCAACGCCGCGUGAGUGAUGAAGGCUUUCGGGUCGUAAAACUCUGUUGUUAGGGAAGAACAAGUGCUAGUUGAAUAAGCUGACACCUUGACGGUACCUAACCAGAAAGCCACGGCUAACUACGUGCCAGCCGCCGCGGUAA
rnacentral:rRNA from 1 species